rnacentral:rRNA from 1 species
AUUGAACGCUGGCGGCAGGCCUAACACAUGCAAGUCGAACGGCAGCACAGAAGAGCUUGCUCUUUGGGUGGCGAGUGGCGGACGGGUGAGUAAUGUCUGGGAAACUGCCCGAUGGAGGGGGAUAACUACUGGAAACGGUAGCUAAUACCGCAUAACGUCGCAAGACCAAAGUGGGGGACCUUCGGGCCUCACACCAUCGGAUGUGCCCAGAUGGGAUUAGCUAGUAGGUGGGGUAAUGGCUCACCUAGGCGACGAUCCCUAGCUGGUCUGAGAGGAUGACACGACACACUAGAGAGGAGACACGGUCCAGACUCCUAAGGGAGGCAGCAGUGGGGAAUAUUGCACAAUGGGCGCAAGCCUGAUGCAGCCAUGCCGCGUGUAUGAAGAAGGCCUUCGGGUUGUAAAGUACUUUCAGCGGGGAGGAAGGCGGUGAGGUUAAUAACCUUGCCGAUUGACGUUACCCGCAGAAGAAGCACCGGCUAACUCCGUGCCAGCCGCCGCUGUAA